rnacentral:rRNA from 1 species
CCCUUAGAUGUCCUGGGCCGCACGCGCGCUACACUGAUGCAUUCAACGAGUAAUCUUUGACCUUGGUCGACAGAUCUGGGUAAUCUUUUGAAAUUGCAUCGUGAUGGGGCUUGCGGGUUGCAAUUACCCGCACCAACGAGGAAUUCCUAGUAAACGCAAGUCAUCAACUUGCAUUGAUUACGUCCCUGCCCUUUGUACACACCGCCCGUCGCUCCUACCGAUUGAGCGGUCCGGUGAAGACUCAGGAGAUGGGCGCGUGCUUGGUUCGCCAACUGCGCUGCCUGCCAAAUUUGUCUAAACCUUAUCGCUUAGAGGAAGGAGAAGUCGUAACA